rnacentral:rRNA from 1 species
UACGUAGGGUGCAAGCGUUAAUCGGAAUUACUGGGCGUAAAGCGUGCGCAGGCGGUUUUGUAAGUCUGACGUGAAAUCCCCGGGCUCAACCUGGGAAUUGCGUUGGAGACUGCAAGGCUAGAAUCUGGCAGAGGGGGGGUAGAAUUCCACGUGUAGCAGUGAAAUGCGUAGAGAUGUGGAGGAACACCGAUGGCGAAGGCAGCCCCCUGGGCUAACACUGACGCUCAGGCA